rnacentral:rRNA from 1 species
AACCUUUACACUGCACGCCAGUGCGAUAAGGGGAUCCCGAGUGCGCAGGCAUAGAGCCUGCGCUUUUCUGAACCGUAGGAAGGUUCAGGAACAAGAGCUGGGCAAGACCGGUGCCAGCCGCCGCGGUAAUACCGGCAGCUCGAGUGAUGGCCGAUCUUAUUGGGCCUAAAGCGUCCGUAGCUGGCCUUGCAAGUCCGUCGGGAAAUCCACCCGCUCAGCGGGUGGGCGUCCGGCGGAAACUGCAAGGCUUGGGACCGGGAGGCUUGAAGGGUACGUCCGGGGUAGGAGUGAAAUCCCGUAAUCCUGGACGGACCGCCGAUGGGGAAACCACUUCAAGAGAACGGAUCCGACAGUGAGGGACGAAAGCUAGGGUCUCGAACCGGAUUAGAUACCCGGGUAGUCCUAGCUGUAAACGAUGCCUGUUAGGUGUGACUCCCACUACGAGUGGGUGUUGUGCCGUAGGGAAGCCGCUAAACAGGCCGCCUGGAAAGUACGUCUGCAAGGAUGAAACUUAA